ensembl:lncRNA LINC00343 long intergenic non-protein coding RNA 343
AUGGGAAAGAAACCUGGAAAGGUAGGGAGUACCCUUGGCUGUGUACAUUUGAGUAAAGAGAGCACUAUAAAAUCAAAAACCAAUGAAAUGGUUUCCAGAACACAGAACUAUUAAGCUUAAGAAAAGGACAGAAGGAACUGAAGAGAGAGGAACUGUUUUGGAGCAUCACACUUCCACCUCAGAAGAAAUAAGGAAGGAAGGAGGAGGGUGUUCCCACGGCUCUUCAACCAGGCCGGCUCUUCAGCCUACAUCCCCAUCUCAUCAAGUAAAAGGGAUUUUUCAACUGGACCAACCAGAUGGUUUAACAGUGCACUCCCACACCAUUCAACUACGCAAGGGAGAUACACUUAACAUAUGCAGUCGUAUAACACCUACUAACAUUUUCAAACAUUAAACCUUUAAAAAAGAGUUCUAAAGAAAUAGAAGCUUGAAGUAUCAUCUCUCAAGUAUAUAGACACUACUUCAUGGUGUGGUAAUAUAUGCAUAUAGAAGCUAGUAAACACCUCCAGGAGAUGCAAAAGGAAUUAGAACUGCCACAAGGUGCAAGCAAAACCUUGAGGUAAUCAAUCUGCAUCCCAUUUUGGAUGAGAAUAUUUGCAACUUUGAAGGUUAUUUUAAGGACAGCAGCAGAAGAAUUAUGGCAGGUAUCUGAAAUUCAUUUCUGUGCUUUGCCGAGGACCCAUGGGAUGCCAUUUGCAGAUGAGAAAACUAAAGAAUAGCUUUAUCUUCCAGCUCUUCACGGAAAAAAAAAUGGCAACAAUAAAAUCAGCAACUCCUGCCAAAUAAAUGGGCAUAAAAAAGAAAUCAUAGACUGCUGGCAAUGGUGGGGAAAAAGUUAUAAAAAUUGUCUCUGCACCAUCUUCCUUUUGUCCUCUAAAAUAUUCACAUUAGCAAAAGUAUAUAACAGCUGAUGAAGAAAUACUGAUAAUUUGUCUUUAGUGAAUAUACCUUGGAAGACGUGUCCUGCCUUUAGUAGCGUCACAAUGGAUUACAUCCUCUAUAAAGCAGUCUGGGGUGAGAAAAUCGAAUUUGGACACCGUUGAGGAGACUAUUGCAGUCAUCCAAGCUCAAGAUGGUGGAGCUUCAUCCUUGAGAAUAACCAAUGGGGAUAGAUUUAAGAGACACUUAGAGUCUGCAGCCAACAGGGCUGAAUGAGCAGAGAGUUAUGAUUCAGAAGAUCAUCUAAAAUUGAACAGCUGCCACUACUGGCAAUAAGUCUACUGCCAUUUGGUAGAUAACCUUCUUAUCACACAGAAAAAUAUCAGUACAGACAAAUAGACCGCAAAGAAAAUGAGACCAUCAGCAAAGAAGAUAAAGAAGUUUGUACAAAGCAACUUUUUAUAAAUGGAUGGCUGUCAGGCAAAAAUAAAUUUCCUGUGGACAAGACCAAGAGCAAGGCAAGAGGAAAAUAAACAUGUUUAAACUA